CACGUAGGGGCCAAGCGUUGUCCGGAAUUAUUGGGCGUAAAGAGCUCGUAGGCGGUCUGUCGCGUCCGUUGUGAAAACUCGAGGCUCAACCUCGGGCUUGCAGUGGAUACGGGCAGACGUAGAGUGCGGUAGGGGAGACUGGAAUUCCUGGUGUAGCGGUGGAAUGCGCAGAUAUCAGGAGGAACACCGAUGGCGAAGGCAGGUCUCUGGGCCGCAACUGACGCUGAGGAGCGAAAGCAUGGGGAGCGAACAGG
rnacentral:rRNA from 1 species